GUGAACGCUGGCGGUAGGCCUAACACAUGCAAGUCGCACGACAGCACAGUAAGAGCUUGUUCUUACGGGUGGCGAGUGGCGGACGGGUGAGGAAUACAUCGGAAUCUACUUUUUCGUGGGGGAUAACGUAGGGAAACUUACGCUAAUACCGCAUACGACCUACGGGUGAAAGCAGGGGAUCUUCGGACCUUGCGCGAUUGAAUGAGCCGAUGUCGGAUUAGCUAGUUGGCGGGGUAAAGGCCCACCAAGGCGACGAUCCGUAGCUGGUCUGAGAGGAUGAUCAGCCACACUGGAACUGAGACGCGGUCCAGACUCCUACGGGAGGCAGCAGUGGGGAAUAUUGGACAAUGGGCGCAAGCCUGAUCCAGCCAUACCGCGUGGGUGAAGAAGGCCUUCGGGUUGUAAAGCCCUUUUGUUGGGAAAGAAAAGCAGCAGGUUAAUACCCCGCUGUUCUGACGGUACCCAAAGAAUAAGCACCGGCUAACUUCGUG
rnacentral:rRNA from 1 species